UACGAGGGGGGCGAGCGUUGUUCGGAAUUAUUGGGCGUAAAGGGCGCGUAGGCGGUGCGGUAAGUCACCUGUGAAACCUCUAGGCUUAACCUAGAGCCUGCAGGAGAAACUGCCGUGCUUGAGUAUGGGAGAGGUGAGUGGAAUUCCUGGUGUAGCGGUGAAAUGCGUAGAUAUCAGGAGGAACACCUGUGGCGAAAGCGGCUCACUGGACCAUUACUGACGCUGAGGCGCGAAAGCUAGGGGAGCAAACAGG
rnacentral:rRNA from 1 species